ACCUGCGGAGGGAUCAUUACAGAGUUGCAAAACUCCCUAAACCAUUGUGAACGUUACCUAUACCGUUGCUUCGGCGGGCGGCCCCGGGGUUUACCCCCCGGGCGCCCCUGGGCCCCACCGCGGGCGCCCGCCGGAGGUCACCAAACUCUUGAUAAUUUAUGGCCUCUCUGAGUCUUCUGUACUGAAUAAGUCAAAACUUUCAACAACGGAUCUCUUGGUUCUGGCAUCGAUGAAGAACGCAGCGAAAUGCGAUAAGUAAUGUGAAUUGCAGAAUUCAGUGAAUCAUCGAAUCUUUGAACGCACAUUGCGCCCGCCAGCAUUCUGGCGGGCAUGCCUGUUCGAGCGUCAUUUCAACCAUCAAGCCCCCGGGCUUGUGUUGGGGACCUGCGGCUGCCGCAGGCCCUGAAAAGCAGUGGCGGGCUCGCUGUCGCACCGAGCGUAGUAGCAUACAUCUCGCUCUGGUCGCGCCGCGGGUUCCGGCCGUUAAACCACCUUUUUAACCCAAGGUUGACCUCGGAUCAGGUAGGAAGACCCGCUGAACUUAAGCAUAUCAAUAAGCGGAGG
rnacentral:rRNA from 1 species